CGUCAGUGGUGGAUUGCUAGAUA
rnacentral:miRNA from 10 species